UAGCUGCAGGUGUCCUUGACUUGAGCAGCGUGGGCUGCAUGAACUUCUUGCCUCAGUUGAAAGGGCCCUCUCCCUCAGCGCUAUGGGAAUGGCUGGAUGGAGCACUCAUCCAACCCGGCAUCUCAGUUCUGACCCCCUGUAAAGAGCCGGAUGUGGUGGUAUGUAUCUGUAAUGCCAGCACUCCUCUGGUGAGCUAGGAGAUGGAGACAGAACUGCCUGGAAGUCUGUGGGCCAGCUGACCCAGAAUACUCAGUGCUGCAGCUGGAGCAGAGAGAUUGCCUCAACAAGAUGGAAGUCGGAGCCUCAGAAAUAUAACAGGGAGUUGAAACCAGCUUUAAAGAUAAAGUCUGCUCUUUGCGCUUAAAGCAAACAAACGGGAUGAUUCCAAAGAAGUCUCUGUGUGCCUUUUCCAAUCUGGUGGUUCAUUGACGAGAAGAGAUGGACACAUUUGCUUCCUCCAUUACACUCGGAAUGAGAAACUUGUGGAGAGAACUUUGGAAGGCUAUAGGCUGGAGAGAGAACUCUCUUUUUUUCGUCUGGGUGGUGAGUGAAAGGGUAUCGUGUUAAAAAUCCAUCGACUUUGUGCAUUUUAUGUUUUAUACAGCUUUCCAUACAUAAGCUACAAUCCCAUGAAAAUAUUAUAUAAUUUUAUAUAAUAUAAAAAGUCCACCACUCAGGACUGGGUUCUCGGGGUUGCUCCAUCAUUUAAGGUUGGCUAAGCGCUUCUUGUGACCACGUCUCUCUGACAUCUAACUUUCUCAUUUACUAGAUGUGGGCCCACUAGAAAAGGAAAUGGGGGGACCUAGACCCGUCACACAGGAAGAUCCUGUGACUUACCUAACAGUGCCCACGCAUGACUUCCCACGCAGUGACUGGAGAUUCAGCCCAAGACUGACUAGAAAGCAGAUCUGGAAAAACCUCAGCCAGUUCAGACAGAGGUGCAGAGAAGCACUGUCCACCAAAGGAGUGCCACCCUGAGCAGGGACAGACAGAGAAACACUGUCUACCAAAGGAGUGCCACCCUGAGCAGGGACAGACAGAGCCACGGUGGGCAUGCUAAGUGCCUGGCUCCAAGCUCCCUGAAGGAUUGUGGUUCAGAGCCCCAAACAGGAGCCAUAGAAAUCGCAGUUCGUUUUGUUUUGUUUGUUUGUUUCAUGAAAGGUGUACUAUAAAUAACGUUACAAUGAGAGAGGAAAUGCCCUUUUUUGGUGGCCAGUGAAGCUUUCAGAGCUGUCGACGCCAGAUUUGACGCUUGACUCCAGAAACACGGCGGGCCUGACUUCCUUCAGUGCCCUUCAAUCUCCUAAAUUUGUCCCUUUGUUCUAUUAUUAUUGUCUCUGGGCCAUUUUGAGACCAUUUAACUUUAUUCACUAGAACUUCUUUUUAAUUUUUCUUUCUAAUGAAAUAUUCCAGUUUUGUGUAGACAUCUGACCCGCGCCCCCUGCCACCCCUCACUCCCCCUACUCCACAUCCCUCACUCCCUCCAUUCCCCACCCCCGCUCUCUUUUUAUGUGGUCAAUUGCAUCUCCUGUCUCCAUUGCUUCGCUUCUGUGAUUAGCUCCAUUCCUAAUCAGAGUGAAGAGUUCUGCACCAGACACACCCCUCAGCCAGAGACUUCAGCAGAGCCUGCUGCACCGCCCCCAUGGAGAGAGACUGGGAGUACAGAGAGUUGGAGCUCUGCAGCCAUGUUGCCACCGUGAGCGGAGAGCUUGGAGCAAUUAGGACACUUGUGGGAAGCCUGAUAAACAAAACUAACCUGGUAAAAGGCAAGAGCAGGACCCAAGACGCCGUGAGGGUGUCUAAACCUGGAAUCUAUGUCUGAAUCCAGACCUGGCCUCCUCGAUUGUAUCUGUCUCCAAAGUUCUUUUCCUUAAGCCAGUCUGAGUUGCUUUCAACUGACUUUGUUCUAACUAAAGUCCAACUAUCAGGUUUUAAAGCUACUCAUUUGGAGCCCCCCGCCCCCUUUUAUUUGCCAAAGUCCCUGGAGUAACCAUCAAAUUAGUCCCAGAUGGUUCGUUAACAUCAGCCAAGUGCUUUCAAAAUAAAAAUAAAAAGCAGUA